GCAAGUGGUACACCAGUGUGCUUAGUGC
rnacentral:sRNA from 1 species